ACGAACGCUGGCGGCGUGCUUAACACAUGCAAGUCGAACGGAAAGGCCCCUUUGGGGGUACUCGAGUGGCGACCGGGUGAGUAACACGUGAGUAACCUGCCCUUGACUUCGGGAUAACUUCAGGAAACUGGGGCUAAUACCGGAUAGGAAUCCUUGCUGCAUGGUGGGGGUUGGAAAGCUUCGGCGGUUUUGGAUGGACUCGCGGCGUAUCAGCUUGUUGGUGGGGUAGUGGCUUACCAAGGCUUUGACGGGUAGCCGGCCUGAGAGGGCGACCGGCCACAUUGGGACUGAGAUACGGCCCAGACUCCUACGGGAGGCAGCAGUGGGGAAUAUUGCACAAUGGGCGGAAGCCUGAUGCAGCAACGCCGCGUGCGGGAUGACGGCCUUCGGGUUGUAAACCGCUUUCAGCAGGGGCGAAGCUUGUGGUGACGGUACCUGCAGAAGAAGCACCGGCUAACUACGUG
rnacentral:rRNA from 1 species